AAUAGAAUGGCUGAAGUUUUAGGCUGUAAAUUGUAAAUUUAUAUAUGAAUUUAUAAUUCUUCUAUUA
rnacentral:tRNA from 1 species